UACGUAGGGCGCAAGCGUUGUCCGGAAUUAUUGGGCGUAAAGGGCUCGUAGGCGGUCUGUCGCGUCGGGCGUGAAAACUCAGGGCUUAACCCUGAGCCUGCUUCCGAUACGGGCAGACUAGAGGUAUGCAGGGGAGAACGGAAUUCCUGGUGUAGCGGUGAAAUGCGCAGAUAUCAGGAGGAACACCGGUGGCGAAGGCGGUUCUCUGGGCAUUACCUGACGCUGAGGAGCGAAAGUGUGGGGAGCGAACAGG
rnacentral:rRNA from 1 species